rnacentral:tRNA from 1 species
UUAGUAAUAAGUUAAAUAAACUGUGUGGUUCAUGCCCAAAUAAUGAGAUGUAUUUUUCUCUUGCUAGA